rnacentral:rRNA from 1 species
UGGGGAAUAUUGGACAAUGGGCGGAAGCCUGAUCCAGCAACGCCGCGUGAGGGAUGACGGCCUUCGGGUUGUAAACCUCUUUCAGCACCGACGAAGCUCCACUUUUUGGUGGUUUGACGGUAGGUGCAGAAGAAGGACCGGCCAACUACGUGCCAGCAGCCGCGGUAAUACGUAGGAUGCAAGCGUUGUCCGGAAUUAUUGGGCGUAAAGAGCGCGCAGGCGGCCUUUCAAGUCAGAUGUGAAAUAACCAGGCUUAACCUGGUGGGGUCAUUUGAAACUGGGGGGCUAGAGUACAGCAGAGGAUAGCGGAAUUCCCGGUGUAGUGGUGAAAUGCGUAGAUAUCGGGAGGAACACCAGUGGCGAAGGCGGCUAUCUGGGCUGCAACUGACGCUGAGGCGCGAAGGCUAGGGGAGCAAAC